AGCAGCCGCGGUAAUUCCAGCUCCAAUAGCGUAUAUUAAAGUUGUUGCAGUUAAAAAGCUCGUAGUUGAAUUUCGAGACCGGUUUAUUGGUCGUACUUUUGUACGUACUGGUAUUAUUGGUUUCUCCUUUCUGACGAAUCUUAAUGCCAUUAAUUUGGUGUUUUGGGGAAUCAGGACUGUUACUUUGAAAAAAUUAGAGUGUUUAAAGCAGGCUCACGCUUGAAUACAUUAGCAUGGAAUAACGGAAUAGGACGUUUGAUUCUAUUUUGUUGGUUUCUAGGAUCGACGUAAUGAUUAAUAGGGAUAGUUGGGGGCAUUAGUAUUCAAUUGUCAGAGGUGAAAUUCUUGGAUUUAUUGAAGACUAACUACUGCGAAAGCAUUUGCCAAGGAUGUUUUCAUUAAUCAAGAACGAAAGUUAGGGGAUCGAAGACGAUCAGAUACCGUCGUAGUCUUAACCAUAAACUAUGCCGACUAGGGAUCGGAUGAUGUUAAUUUUUUAAUGACUCAUUCGGCGCCUUACG
rnacentral:rRNA from 1 species